ensembl:lncRNA
CGGCUCCGCCCUGCAUCCCAGUCCAGCAGCAGAGCUCCCAGCUUCCUGCUCCCUUGCCCUCCACCUCCUGUACAUACCACCUGGGAAGAGAUGCGGCCAGUCCCUCAAGAAGUUCUGCACUUCCCGCCUGCAAUACCCACCAGGGCCUAUUAUCUUGGGACCACUGCCCACUUAGGGCCCUUCCUUGGGUCCAAGUCAGGGGCAUCUGCCUCCAGGCCAAACACAGCUGGAGCACAUGCACCAAGAACCAGCAUUCUCCUGACCCUCUCUCAGGCCUGGGACCUCUGGGCUGGAAUUCACAGGCAGGGUGGAGUACCUCCCUCCAUGUGACCACCCUCCAGCCCUGGCAUGCAGCAGCCCUGACAUGACAGUGGCGGAAACUGUGCCAGGGGGCUCCUCACAGGGCCGCUGCCAGUGGCCAACCCUGCUCUCAGCAGUGACCUCUGAGUAGUCCUGGCAUGCUGACAUCAGUCCCCUGGGGAGAUCUCUAGUCUUUCUCUAAGGCCCCAGGAACGGUCAGUUCUGCCUCCUGCCCCUUCCUGGCAGAGGCAAUAACGCUAAGGGAUCUUAAGGGGUUUAGGGACUCUACCCCAAGCUCAGGUUGGACUUCCCUAGGCCACACCACUCAUGCGCCACACCAAAGCAGGACACCCCCCGCUGCUCCCCUGGUGGCCCUACACCCUAAAAGAGGGAGACCUUCCCCUGACGUCAGUCUGGCUGUGAAAAACACCCUCUUGCCCACCUUCCCCUCCUCCAACCCCAGCGACCUGUCAGGCUUCCCUCCUGGCCACUGCGUUUUGGGAUAUUCUGGGCAUAUUCUAAAGAUGAGCAGAGGUCCAUGGGUGCAGGAAUUUGGCAUGGAACAGAGGGUCAAAGCAUCCCAGGGAGAGGCCCAGGAGUUGGCUGCAGGCUACUUUGUACAUGUAAUGUAUUAUAUGGGGUCUGGGCUCCAGUCAGAGAACAAUCUUCUAUUUCUGUUGUUUCCUUAUUAAAAUGGUGUUUUUGGAAAAAAAAAAAAGCAGUGGCCUGGUGGAUGGUGCUUUCUUGGAGGGAAGGGAGGCGGAAGACAAAUGGGAUGCGGACUUGAGGGCCAGAAGGCAUGCUAAACCUCCCAACUGAUCAUCUCCAGACUUUAUAAAAAACCAGUCAUGGGAAUUCCCUGGGGCUCCAGUGCCUGGGAUUCAGCACUUUCACUGGACAGCCUGGGUUCAGUCCUUGAUCAGGGAACUAAGAUCCUGCAAGCCCCACGUGCAGUCAAACGAAAACAAAAAGUAGCCACGUGCCAGUGCUUCAGGGACUACUGUCCCCAGAAGAUCAGUGUGACAGCUGGCAUGUGAAGUGAGAGGCCCCAAGGUUGGUGCCACAGGGGUGUGGGAACCCAGAGACUGAAAUGCUCAGCCAUCCCAGUGCUUCACUUCCCCUCUUUGCUAGGUCCAGAACCAAAGCCUAGCACAGUCCUAAGUCUGUCCUCAAACCCAUCGUAUUGCUGAAAAAGCCCAAAAAACCUGACGCCUUUCUUCCUUGACUUUGUUCCAGCUAGCAAGCUUUAGGAAAUUGGAAUAGGAAUCAGAGACUGAGCCCCUGAACGUGAGGCUCUGGUCUGUCUUGGCUUCAGAGAACAUCCAGAC